rnacentral:lncRNA from 1 species
ACUCCUGCGGUGUCCUUGGUGUCACAUCCGUGGUGUCCCCAAUGUCUGUCACAUCCAUGGUGUCCUCGAUGUCCUGUCUCUGUGUCCCCUGUGUCACUCCUCUGCUGUCCUGUCUUGGUGUCCCCAAUGUCACAUCCAUGGUGUCCUCGGUGUCACUCCUGCGGUGUCCUUGGUGUCACAUCUGGGGUGUCCCCAAUGUCACAUCCUGGGUGUCCUCAGUGUCACAUCCUGGGUGUCCUCGGUGUCACAUCCGCAGUGUCCCCGAUGUCCCAAGGUGAAGAUCUCGUCCUGGUCAUCUCUGGUGUCCCCAAUGUCCCAUUCCAGUGUCCCCAAUGUCCCAUCCCAAUGUCCCCAGUGUCCCCAAGUCUGUCCCCAGUGUCCCAAAUGUCCUCGAUGUCCCCAAUGUCCGAAUGUCCCCAGUGUCCCACUGUCACAAUGUGGAGAUCUCAUCCUCAGUGUCCA